rnacentral:rRNA from 1 species
AUUGAACGCUGGCGGCAGGCCUAACACAUGCAAGUCGAGCGAGCGGCGGACGGGUGAGUAAUGUCUGGAAACUGCCUGAUGGAGGGGGAUAACUACUGGAAACGGUAGCUAAUACCGCAUACCAUCAGAUGUGCCCAGAUGGGAUUAGCUAGUAGGUGGGGUAACGGCUCACCUAGGCGACGAUCCCUAGCUGGUAUGAGCGAAUGACAAGACACACUGGAACUGAGCCACGGCCCAGAUUCAUACGGAAGGAAGAAGUGGGGAAUAUGGGACAAGGGGCGAAAGCGUGAUACAGCCAGGCGGGGUUGGUGAAGAAGGUGUUCGGGUUGUAAAGCACUUUCAGCGGGGAGGCGGUAACCGAAGAAGAAGCACCGGCUAACUCCGUGCCAGCAGCCGCGGUAAUAC